rnacentral:rRNA from 1 species
UACGUAGGGGGCGAGCGUUGUCCGGAUUCAUUGGGCGUAAAGAGCUCGUAGGCGGCUUGGCAAGUCGGAUGUGAAAACUCCAGGCUCAACCUGGAGCCGCCAUUCGAUACUGCUAUGGCUAGAGUCCGGUAGGGGAGUGUGGAAUUCCCGGUGUAGCGGUGAAAUGCGCAGAUAUCGGGAGGAACACCGAUGGCGAAGGCAGCACUCUGGGCCGGUACUGACGCUGAGGAGCGAAAGCGUGGGGAGCGAACGGG